rnacentral:rRNA from 1 species
AUGACUCUCGACAAUGGAUUUCUCAGCUCUCGCAUCGAUGAAAAGUGUAGCAAAAUGUGAUAAGUGGUACUAAUUAUUGAAUCAUGCGAACCAUCGAGUCUUUGAAUGUAAGUUGCAUCCGAGGCCAAUCGGUCGAGGGCACGUCUGCCUGGGCUUCAAGC